rfam:Glycine max cultivar Williams 82 chromosome 19, whole genome shotgun sequence.
AGGUUCCAUCAUACCCGCACUAAUGCACCAGAUCGCAUCAGAACUCCGCAGUUAAGCGUGCUUGGGCGAGAGUAGUACUAGGAUGAGUGACCUCCUGGGAAGUCCUCGUGUUGCAACUC